rnacentral:rRNA from 1 species
CUUGGUCAUUUAGAGGAAGUAAAAGUCGUAACAAGGUUUCCGUAGGUGAACCUGCGGAAGGAUCAUUACAGUGUUCCUGCCCUCACGGGUAGAAACCCCCACCCUUGACUACUAUGUUUGUUGCUUUGGCGGGCCCUGCGGCCCCGGCCGCACGCUGGCUCCGGCUGGCGAGUGCCCGCCAGAGGACCCCAAACCCUGUGUGUUAGUGUCGUCUGAGUACUAUAUAAUAGUUAAAACUUUCAACAACGGAUCUCUUGGUUCUGGCAUCGAUGAAGAACGCAGCGAAAUGCGAUAAGUAAUGUGAAUUGCAGAAUUCAGUGAAUCAUCGAAUCUUUGAACGCACAUUGCGCCCCUUGGUAUUCCGGGGGGCAUGCCUGUUCGAGCGUCAUUUCAACCAAUCCAGCUCGCUGGGUCUUGGGCCCCGCGGCUUCGCGGGCCUUAAAAUCAGUGGCAGUGCCGCCGGGCGCUCAGCGUAGUAAUUUCUCUCGCUGUGGUGCCCCGGCGUGUGCCCGCCAGCAACCCCCAACUUACAUCAGGUUGACCUCGGAUCAGGUAGGGAUACCCGCUGAACUUAAGCAUAUCAAUAAGCGGAGGA